GGGUCAGUAGGUUGGUCGUGCCACCGGUACGUACUGGUCUCACUGAUUCCUCCUUCCCGAAGAACCGUAAUGCCAUUAAUUUGGUGUUGCGGGGAAACAGGACUGUUACUUUGAAAAAAUUAGAGUGUUUAAAGCAAGCUAACGCUUGAAUACAUUGGCAUGGAAUAAUGAAAUAGGACGAUCGAUCCUAUUUUGUUGGUUUCUAGGAUUGACGUA
rnacentral:rRNA from 1 species